GACGAACGCUGGCGGCGUGCCUAACACAUGCAAGUCAACUUGACUGAAGGAGCAAUCUGACAGUAGAGUGGCGCAAGGGUGCGUAACGCGUAAGUAACUUGCCCCAAGGUAAGGAAUAACGUCGAGAAAUCGGCGCUAAUACCUCAUAAUGCAGCGGAUCCGCAUGGAUAUGUUGUUAAAGGUUUACCGCCUUGGGAUAGGCUUGCGUCUGAUUAGCUAGUUGGUGUGGUAACGGCACACCAAGGCUACGAUCAGUAACUGGUCUGAGAGGAUGAUCAGUCACACUGGAACUGAGACACGGUCCAGACUCCUACGGGAGGCAGCAGUGAGGAAUAUUGGGCAAUGCUCGAAAGAGUGACCCAGCAACGCCG
rnacentral:rRNA from 1 species